rnacentral:precursor_RNA from 10 species
GCAAAGAAUUAACUCUGGCUUGGUGGAAAACCUUGUAGGAGUAAAGGGAAACGUUUACAGUUUCACUUUGCCACUGCAGGUCUUACCGCUGAAGCAAAAUCCACUGUGGUUCA